rnacentral:rRNA from 1 species
AAAGGAAGAAGAUCUAAGAAUGCUUCUUUAAGAAGCUUUCUUGAUGGAGGGGAGUGGCAGACGGGUGAGUAACGCGUGGGAACAUACCCUUUUCUACGGAAUAGCUCUGGGAAACUGGAAUUAAUACCGUAUACGCCCUACGGGGGAAAGAUUUAUCGGGGAAGGAUUGGCCCGCGUUGGAUUAGCUAGUGGGUGGGGUAAAGUACUACCAAGGCGACGAUCCCUAGCUGGUCUGAGAGGAUGAUCAGCCACAUUGGGACUGAGACACGGCCCAAACUCCUACGGGAGGCAGCAGUGGGGAAUAUUGGACAAUGGGCGCAAGCCUGAUCCAGCCAUGCCGCGUGAGUGAUGAAGGCCUUAGGGUUGUAAAGCUCUUUCACCGAUGAAGAUAAUGACGGUAGUCGGAGAAGAAGCCCCGGCUAACUUCGUGCCAGCCGCCGCCGUAA